GCCUUCGUGGUGUAGUGGUCAGCACGCUGGGCGCGUAUUACAGAGGUUCGUGGUUCAAGUCCCGACGAGGGCA
rfam:Stegodyphus mimosarum contig79483, whole genome shotgun sequence.